AUAAUUUGACGUUGAAGCACAUUUUUGUUGCCUAGUAAACCGGUUAGCUGUGACCAAGUUUAAACAGGCUUAGGACACCCUACUCAACGUGGGGUGCUGGUGCGGACUCAACGUCUAAGAACAAUACCACGUGCUACCUCGCCCGAACCGUAGGACGUCGGUGUGAUCUGUGGCUUCAGUAAACGUGUCUGUGGCUUCCAAUUAGUUUCAAGCACCACUACUUAAGCUGAUCAGCGUGAAACCUUCGUUAGAAACCACGUGCUCGACGCCCAAAUUCCGUGACUGUUAAGUGCUCGAUUCCAACGUUUCGGUUGACACCUGUGCGUUCAUUCCAAGCGCAACGCUUACACCAAUCCGACAAUCAAGAAAAUCUGCUCGAACGGAAGGCUCUGCUAUUCGGCCUAAUCUCAGCGUUCAUCAGCCAACCGUUGAAUCUUUCGAGCACGGAGUGGGCACUAGACAAGCUAACCGUCGUGGUUUUGGGAGCCACUGUCCAGACACCUUCGAACAGAUCAUCCAGCUGGAAAUAGUUUUAUGCGAUCGCCAACGAGGAACAUCGGCCGAACGAUUGACGCGUCGUGGGAGUUCACCACCCUCAGCCAGGUUUAGCGAAGAAGCUAAG
rnacentral:lncRNA from 1 species